rnacentral:lncRNA from 1 species
AUGAUGCCAGAGGAGCCCCAGGACAUCUAUGUUUUUGAUCCUGCAACUUCUCUGCAGUCCCCUGGACAGACUAUUCCAAAGAAUCUGUUAUUAAGAAGUGCACUCAGUUCAAGUUUGAACAAUUCAACUGGAAUAAUCAUAGACAGAAUAAUUAUCUUAAAGGAAGGCCUCAAGCGUUUAAAACAACAACACCAUGAGGAGAGACCUGGCCCAAGAACAGAUAUGAGGAAGAAGGAAGAUCCACCGCUAUUACAGAGAGCCUUUUGUUCACUGGAGUUGACUCAGACAGUUCCAGAAAGGGCCACUUUGCUGAUUAUGGCAGUCCCCAAAGGAAGCAGCCAGGACAUCUCCACAAGGAGGAAAAGAUGGCUUUUAUGAAGAACCAAAUGAAGGACUUUGCUAGUGAAGUCAACUAUAAAAAGGAUAUGUGCAUAAAAUGAAAUAGGUUUGAAGUGAUUUAUACAUAUUGUAUAUAUGCAUCACACAAUCAUGAGAAAAGAAAGUUGGAAGACUCACACUUCCUGAUAGCAAGUCUUACUCCAGAGUGACAGUAAUCAAGACAGUGUGGUACUGAUGUAAGAACGAGAAAUGGAUCAGUGGAAUGGGCAGAGACUCUAGAAGCCAACCUUCACAUUAGAACCAAUUUACUUUGACAAGGAUCCUGAGAAAAUUCAAUAAGGAAAGACAUUAUUUUUUUUCCACAAAUGAUUCUAGAACAACUGGAUAGUAACAUGCAAAGGAAUAAAGCCAGAUCCUGGUCACAGCUACAAAAAUGAACUCCAAAUGGACGAAAGACAUAAGCAUAAGAGAAAAAAAACCUCAACAAAAAACAAAACAAACAAACAAAAACAAAACAACAAAACCUUAGAAGAAAACUCAGUGGGGGAGAUGGGGAAUAUCUUGAUAUUAGAUGUGACAAUAAUUUCUUGAUAUGACAGAAAUAAAAGAAAAAAAUUGGUAAGUUGGACUACACUAAAAUCUAAAAGCCUGUGUCUCAAAGGAUACCAUCUGGAGAUAGA